CAGCCGCCGCGGUAAUACGUAGGGUGCAAGCGUUAAUCGGAAUUACUAGGCGUAAAGCGUGCGCAGGCGGUUAUAUAAGACAGAUGUGAAAUCCCCGGGCUCAACCUGGGAACUGCAUUUGUGACUGUAUAGCUAGAGUACGGCAGAGGGGGAUGGAAUUCCGCGUGUAGCAGUGAAAUGCGUAGAUAUGCGGAGGAACACCGAUGGCGAAGGCAAUCCCCUGGGCCUGUACUGACGCUCAUGCACGAAAGCGUGGGGAGCAAACAGGAUUAGAUACCCCUGUAGUCCCUGUCUCUUAUAC
rnacentral:rRNA from 1 species